rnacentral:rRNA from 1 species
GAUGAACGCUAGCGACGUGCCUAAUACAUGCAAGUCGAGCGGAAAGACCAUGGACUUGCUCCUCUGAAGUUGGGGGCGGACGGGUGAGUAACAGGAGGAUAAACUCAAUAUAAGCCUGAGAUAACUACGAGCAACCGGAGCUAAUACCGGUUCAUAUAUUCAACCCAAUGGUUCAAUCGUGAAAGACGGUUUUGCUAUCACUUAUAGAUGGAUCCGCGCCGCAUUAGCUAGUUGGUAAGGUGACGGCUUACCAAGGCGACGAUGCGUAGCCGACCUGAGAGGGGAAGCGGCCACACUGGAAUUGAGACGCGGUCCAGACUACUACGGUACGCAGCAGUAGGGAAUGUUCCGCUAUGGGCGAAAGCUUGACGUGACAACGCCGCGUGGGUGGUAAAGGGCCUCCGAUCUGAAAUCUCUGCUACUAGUGAAAAACAAAUGUGUAAGUAACUAGUCACUUCUUGACGGUACCUUAUCAGAAAGCCACGGCUAACUACGUG